rnacentral:rRNA from 1 species
UACGGGGGGGGCAAGCGUUGUUCGGAAUUACUGGGCGUAAAGGGCUCGUAGGCGGCCAACUAAGUCGGACGUGAAAUCCCCAGGCUCAACCUGGGAACUGCGUCCGAUACUGGAUGGCUUGAAUCCGGGAGAGGGAUGCAGAAUUCCAGGUGUAGCGGUGAAAUGCGUAGAUAUCGUAAGGAAGACCAGUGGCGAAGGCGAGUCUCUGGACAGUUACUGACGCUGAGGCACGAAGGCCAGGGGAGCAAACGGG